rnacentral:rRNA from 1 species
AUUGAACGCUGGCGGCAGGCCUAACACAUGCAAGUCGAGCGAGCGGCGGAAGGGAGAGUAAUGUAUGGGGAUCUGCCUGAUGGAGGGGGAUAACUAAUGGAAACUGUGGCUAAUUCCGCAUUGAAUCGGAUGAACCCAUUUGGGAUUAGCUAGUAGGUGGGGUAAAGGCUCACCUAGGCGACGAUCUCUAGCUGGUCUGAGAGGAUGAUCAGCCACACUGGAACUGAGACACGGCCCAGACUCCGACGGGAGGCAGCAGUGGGGAAUAUUGCACAAUGGGCGAAAGCCUGAUGCAGCCAUGCCGCGUGUGUGAAGAAGGCCUUCGGGUUGUAAAGUACUUUCAGCGGGGAGGCGUUACCCGCAGAAGAAGCACCGGCUAACUCCGUGCCAGCAGCCGCGGUAAUAC